rnacentral:rRNA from 1 species
AGGAUUAACGCUGGCGGCGUGCCUAACACAUGCAAGUCGAACGAGGUAGCAAUACCUAGUGGCAGACGGGUGAGUAACGCGUGGUCAACCUACCGUUGAGUGGGGGAUAACUAGCCGAAAGGUUAGCUAAUACCGCAUACGAGUCUUGGGGGCAUCCCCGGGCCUUAAAAGGAGCAAUCCGCUCGAUGACGGGACCGCGUCCCAUUAGCUAGAUGGUGGGGUAACGGCCUACCAUGGCACCGAUGGGUAGCUGGUUUGAGAGAGCGACCAGCCACACUGGGACUGAGAAACGGCCCAGACUCCUACGGGAGGCAGCAGUGAGGAAUUUUCCGCAAUGGGCGAAAGCCUGACGGAGCGACGCCGCGUGUGGGAAGAAGGCCUUCGGGUCGUAAACCACUGUCGAAGGGGACGAUAAUGACGGUACCCUUGGAGGAAGCCCCGGCUAACUACGCGCCAGCAGCCGC